rnacentral:tRNA from 1 species
AAAUUUUGAAAUUUGGCAGAAUAAUGCAUUAAAUUUAGAAUUUAAUUAUAUCCUA